GUCAGUUUGGCCGAGUGGUUAAGGCGCUUGACUCGAACGGCGAAAUCAAGUUCUCUUUGGGAUCACAGGUUCGAAUCCUGUAGCUGACG
rfam:Wallemia ichthyophaga EXF-994 unplaced genomic scaffold scaffold24, whole genome shotgun sequence.